AUCUAAGUGGGUUUAGCACAAGAAUAAAAAGGAGGUAGUCCAUAAGGUGAAACAGGUGGUUCCUUCAGUACCCUGUUUUGUUUGCAUUAUCUCAUGAUUCAUAAGCCCAGCUCUCAGGUGUGAGAGCAAAGCAGUACAGGGAAGUGGUAUAUACAAUUUUAAAGCACUUGCUUUCUUCUUCGUUAGCUGGCUCCUCUUUUGUUAAUAGCUUUGCUGUUGCAGCCAGAGAGCUAUGGAAGAGGGGGGAACGUAGCUUUACAUUCAUGCCCGUGCCAUAGCAGAGGAAAAGCUGUAUGAAGAAUGAAAGCAAUAAUCCUGAAAAUGUCAGGUGGCAGGAUCUGAACGUGAUGCUUGUCGUUUUCCUUUGUUGUUUGGUCCUUUUCAUCUGCUGCUUGUGUUUGUAGUGCUGAUCGUGCUCUGUCUGGUUCCUUCUGGCAAAGCAAGUAAAAAGGGGUUUUUUUAUGACCUCUUUAGAAAAUAAACUUGAUGUGGUUGUUUCUUGGUUUGUUUUUAGUCUGAUGAGGAAGGUGGCAAGGAGAGAGAAGGUGAAGAAGGCCAACAGAAAUUUAUUGCACAUGUUCCAGUGCCAUCUCAACAGGAGAUUGAGGAAGCUCUUGUACGGCGAAAGAAGAUGGAGCUUCUUCAGAAGUACGCCAGUGAGACCCUCAUGGCACAGAGUGAAGAAGCAAAAACGCUGUUAGGAUUGUAACGUUGCACCAGUACGUCCCUGUUUCUGUAAAAUCCGUCUGAAAGCAGCAGGUUCAUGUAUUCUGGUAGCAGUGGCUUUUAGCUCUGAAGGUCCCUUUGGGUGGUAGGAGUAGACUGAUGGAGUUAGUGUGUGCUGCAGGAGGAAACCCGUUGUUUUGGUUUAUCCUCUAGGAUGACUUGUGCUGCGGUGCUGAAAAAGAUCAAACGUAGGUUUAACAUGUUUCUGCAUCUCCAGCAACUCUGCAGUCCUUUGGCUGUGUAAAACGGUGUGUACAGAUAGAGCCACAAACCCAGGGGCUCCCUAAAUCCAGAAGGAAAACUGGGUGGUGUUACUGCUGCAUCCCAGCUGUCAGUGUGCACGUCUUCCCCAGGAUGAUUUUUGCAGAGUCCAGAAGUAACGUACUCCAUUAUGCCUGGUUGGUUUACCAGAAUGGCCCAGAACCUGUCCAGAGGUACCUCGAUGGCAGGUCUCAUGAGUGGCUCAGAAGUCCAUUUGGUUCUUUAUACAACAGAUGGAAUGUGUCUAAAAGCUCUCACCCUUUUUGUGGUUUGUGACCGUGCCUGGGUGAAUUGCUUAAACGCUGGAUAUUUCAGCAGCCAUUGUAAAUACUUCCAACUUUGCAAUGCCUUGUUCCAAUAUUUUUAGUAAAACUUAUUUACAGCCUGG